rnacentral:rRNA from 1 species
CCUGGUUGAUCCUGCCAGUAAUCAUGCUUGUCUCAAAAAUUAAGCCAUGCAUGUCUAAGCUAUGCCGAAAUAAGGCGAAACCGCGAAUGGCUCAUUAAAUCAGUUAUGGUUCCUUAGAUCGUUUCUUCCUACUUGGAUAACUGUGGCAAUUCUAGAGCUAAUACAUGCAGUGAGCCUGGAGCCCUUUGGGUAACGGGUGCUUUUAUUAGACCAAGAUCGAUCGGGUUUCGGCCCGUAUUGUGUGGUGACUCUGGAUAACUUUGUGCUGCUGAUCGCAUGGCCACGAGCCGGUGACGUUUCUUUCAAGUGUCUGCCUUAUCAACUUUCGAUGGUAGCGUUACUUGCUUACCAUGCUUGUUACAGGCUAAGAAGAAUCAGGGUUUGGAUUCCGGAAAGGCGAGCCUGACAAACGGUUACCACAUCCAAGGAAGGCAGCAGGCGCACAAAUUACCCACUCCCGGCACGGGAGGUAGUGAUGAAAAAUAACAAUACGGGACUCUUUUGCAAGCCGCACCCUUGCUUUGAAAUGAGUACACUCUAAAUCCUUUAACGAGGAUCAAUUGGAGGGCAAGUCUGGUGCCAGCAGCCGCGGUAAUUCCAGCUCCAAUAGCGUAUACUAAAGCUGCUGUGGUUAAAAAGCCCGUAGUUGUAUGUCAGUUCCAGACGAGUAGUGCAUCUCCCGAUGCGGAGGCUCGGACUGAACAUCAUGCACUUCUUUCUUGCGCUGCACUUCAUUGCUGUGCCUCGGAGAGAUGGCCGAGCUAGCUUUUACUUUUGCCAAAAAUUAGAGUGCUCAACGCAGGCGAGUCGCCUGAAUAAACUUGCAUGGAAAGAAUAAUAGAACAAUACUUUCGCUUUCUCUUCUGUGGUUUUGGAAUACGGAGCGGGGUAAUGAUUAAGAGGGACGGACGGGGGCAUUCGUAUUGCGGCGCUAGUGGUGAAAUUCUUGGACCGUCGCAAGACGAACUACUGCGAAAGCAUUUGCCAAGAAUGUUUUCAUUGAUCAAGAACGAAAGUCAGCGGUUCGAAGGUGAUCAGAUACCGCCCUAGUUCUGACCAUAAACGAUGCCAACCAGCGAUCCGCCUGAGUUACUCAAAUGACUCGGCGGGCAGCUUCCGGGAAACCAAAGUAUUUGGGUUCCGGGGGAAGUAUGGUUGCAAAGCUGAAACUUAAAGGAAUUGACGGAAGGGCACCACCAGGAGUGGAGCCUGCCGCGCCUAAUUUCAUUCAACGCGGGAAAAACUUACCCGCGCCCUGACACUGGCGGAGGUAUUGACAGAUUGAGAGCCCUCUUUUCUUGAUUCUAUGCGCAUGGGUGGUGCACUGCUGCUUCUUUAGUUGGCUGCAGAGCGAAUUUGUCUGGUUCAUUCCGAUAAACGAACGAGAACUCUAGCCUAUUGAAUGCGGUGCUGGCGUUUUCAGCCCCUCACAACCUUCUUAGAGGAACAAGCGGCUCCUAGCGGCUCCUAGCCGCAUGAAACAGAGCAAUAACAGGUCUGUGAUGCCCUUAGAUGUCCGGGGCCGCACGCGCGCUACACUGAAGGAAGAGAGCGCCGUUCUUUAUUCGCUGUUCUGAAAAGAUUGGGUAACCCCCGCGGAACAUCUUUCGUGAUUGCGGAUUAGGGGCUUGAAAUUGCCUUCCCCUUGAACGAGGAAUUCCCAGUAAGCGCGAGUCAUAAGCUCGCGUUGAUUACGUCCCUGCCCUUUGUACACACCGCCCGUCACUACUACCGAUUGAAUGAUUUAGUGAGGUCUUCGGACCGAUGUCCGACCGCCGGCGGCUUUCUUUCGGUUGCGCCGGUCUGUUGGAAAGAUGACCAAACUUGAUCAUUUAGAGGAAGUAAAAGUCGUAACAAGGUUUCCGUAGGUGAACCUGCGGAAG